rnacentral:rRNA from 1 species
CCUACGGUGGCUGCAGUGGGGAAUAUUGGACAAUGGGGGCAACCCUGAUCCAGCCAUGCCGCGUGUGUGAAGAAGGCCCUCGGGUUGUAAAGCACUUUCAGUGAGGAAGAACGCCUGGUGGUUAAUACCCAUCAGGAAAGACAUCACUCACAGAAGAAGCACCGGCUAACUCCGUGCCAGCAGCCGCGGUAAUACGGAGGGUGCGAGCGUUAAUCGGAAUUACUGGGCGUAAAGCGCGCGUAGGUGGCUUGAUAAGCCGGUUGUGAAAGCCCCGGGCUCAACCUGGGAACGGCAUCCGGAACUGUCAAGCUAGAGUGCAGGAGAGGAAGGUAGAAUUCCCGGUGUAGCGGUGAAAUGCGUAGAGAUCGGGAGGAAUACCAGUGGCGAAGGCGGCCUUCUGGACUGACACUGACACUGAGGUGCGAAAGCGUGGGUAGCAAACAGGAUUAGAUACCCGAGUAGUC